UCAUUGACACUUCGAGCUAAUUUCUUCACUUAGAAAUCAGAGCUUAAGCACUAUAAAUUGGCUUCAGGUUGUUUUUCUUGGUUUGGAAAACGAUGGAGGCCAACUUUAGAGAGAGAGUUAGAGGGUGACGAGGACAAGGACAAGGACAAGGACAAGGACGAGGACGAGGAGGGAAGAGGACAAGGACGAGGAAGAGGACGAGGAGUGGGAAGAGGACAAGGAUGAGGAGGGAAGAGGACAAGGACGAGGACGAGGACGAGGAGGGAAGAGGACAAGGACGAGGAGGGAAGAGGACAAGGAUGAGGAAGAGGACGAGGAGGGGAAGAGGACAAAGACGAGGAAGAGGAUGAGGACGAGGAGGGGAAGAGGACAAGGACGAGGAUGAGAACAAGGAUGAGGAGGGGAAGAGGACACGGACGAGGACGAGGACAAGGAUGAGGAGGGUAAGAGGACAAGGACAAGGACAAGGACGAGGACGUGGAGGGGAAGAGGACACGGACGAGGAAGAGGACGAGGAGGGGAAGAGGACAAGGAUGAGGACGAGGACGAGGAAGAGGACAAGGACGAGGAGGGGAAGAGGACAAGGACGAGGAAGAGGACGAGGACGUGGAGGGGAAGAGGACAAGGACGAGGAAGAGGACGAGGAGAGGAAGAGGACAAGGACAAGGAAGAGGAGGAAGGAGAACACAGAUGAGAUCCGGGCCACUUCGGUUGACCAUGUGGAGAGAGAGUUAGACCAUGUGUUUGAGUUUCAGGGAGGCUGGGUAGAGGGUCCAGCCUCUACCCAGUACACUGCAGCAAGUGUCAUCCGGACCUUUCUAAAUGAGAACAGUAUUGCGAGAUGACCCUUCAAUGGAGGUUAGGUUGCUAGAUCGAAUCCCCGAGCUGACAAGUGUACCCUGCGCGCACCACCCAUGUGGAAUUCCUGGUCUCCGGCAGUGUUUGGAACUGCCGAUGUGCAGUCAACAAGAACGAGUUCAUCUCACUCUAUACUGCCCUUCAGUCCCUAGACGAUUUGGCCCUGACGGAGACAUGGUUUACCCCAGAGAA